rnacentral:rRNA from 1 species
UUUAUGGAGAGUUUGAUCCUGGCUCAGGAUGAACGCUGGCGGCGUGCCUAAUACAUGCAAGUCGAGCGAACAGACGAGGAGCUUGCUCCUUUGACGUUAGCGGCGGACGGGUGAGUAACACGUGGGUAACCUACCUAUAAGACUGGGAUAACUUCGGGAAACCGGAGCUAAUACCGGAUAAUAUUUCGAACCGCAUGGUUCGAUAGUGAAAGAUGGCUUUGCUAUCACUUAUAGAUGGACCUGC